UACGUAGGGUGCGAGCGUUUAAUCGGAAUUACUGGGCGUAAAGCGUGCGCAGGCGGUUUUGUAAGUCAGAUGUGAAAUCCCCGGGCUUAACCUGGGAACUGCGUUUGAAACUACAAGGCUAGAGUGUGGCAGAGGGGGGUGGAAUUCCACGUGUAGCAGGUGAAAUGCGUAGAGAUGUGGAGGAACACCGAUGGCGAAGGCAGCCCCUGGGUUAACACUGACGCUCAGGCACGAAAGCGUGGGGAGCAAACAGG
rnacentral:rRNA from 1 species